CAUCCUCAUUUGUAAACUACCUGAGUUUGAGAGAAAUACACAUCUCACUAAGUUGAGUGAACAUUGUGCUUGUUUUUCUUUCCUUCCAUAUUUUCUGCUUCCGUGUGAGAGCCAAGGAAAUUAUCCCGCGGGAAGGUGUUCAAGUUUCUUCCAAUUCGGAAAACUUCAAAAUGAAAAUUCUCACGGUCAACGGAGGAGAGAUACUUUACAAAGUAGGAAGGUUUAAUUUUCCCAUUUUCUUCCUCAAUCUAUGGCACGCACAAGGCAAACCCCAUACGUCGUCAGAAUGUUACCCAUGCUAAGGCUGCGGGGUGCAUCCUCCACCCAAGCCGCUGUGGGUGGGUCGACCUUCAACCCUGCCCCUGCCAAUGUGGAUGGGUCGACCUCCAACCCAGUCGAUGUGGAUGGGUCGACCUCCAACCCUGCCCCUGCUGCUGUGGGUGGGCCGACCUCCACCCCAGCUGGUGUGGGUGUGUCGACCUCCAACCCUACCCCCGCCACUGUGGGUGGGUCGACCUCCACCCCAGCUGGUGUGGGUGUGUCGACCUCCAACCCUACCCCCGCCACUGUGGGUGGGUUGACCUCCAACGCUGCUGCCGGGCACAACUCCUCAGGCAAGUCAAGAAGAGCAUAUUAUGGAGCAAAGUUUUUAUGAGAGUUGGCAAUAUACAAGUGUACAUCCUCUGCUCGUGUAAAGUGUAUCUCACGCCCUUUACUUUGUAGUGAUUUUGUUUGAAUUAUAUAUAUAUAUAUAUAUUAUUAGACACUUCAAGUAAUAAAGCAAAUCCCUACAACAACACAUAACUAAUGGAAAUGUGUUAUUCAUCAUUAGAAACUCAAUUUGCAUUAUAACUAAUAAUAUAUAUAUAUAUAUAUACAUAAACAAGACACGAAUAUAAAGCAAAGGUAUAUGUAUUAUCCCCUUGAGUUCUUAAUCAUUUCUCAACCUUCCACUAUCAACUAAACUAAUGCAGGUAGUUUUUUAGAUGGGAUUUUUUAUGAACAUCCCACCAAACACUCAAUAUUAUAAUGAAAGCAUUGAAAGAUGAAGGUCUACACACAAAUACACCCACACAUGCGUAUAUAAUGCCAUUAGUUUGUUGUAUAAUUACAACCUUAUGUAUAGGAUAAUGCAUUAUAGUAAGAAAGACUUAUAGGAAGAAAGACUUAUCACUCAAGUCAUGAUAUGAUCAUGACACUCAAUUUGCAUUAUAAUUAAUAAUAUCAAUAAUUG